AUUGAACGCUUGCGGCAGGCCUAACACAUGCAAGUCGAACGAGUGGCGGACGGGUGAGUAAUGUCUGGGAAACUGCCUGAUGGAGGGGGAUAACUACUGGAAACGGUAGCUAAUACCGCAUACCAUCAGAUGUGCCCAGAUGGGAUUAGCUAGUUGGUGGGGUAACGGCUCACCAAGGCGACGAUCCCUAGCUGGUCUGAGAGGAUGACAAGCCAAAAAGGAACUGAGACACGGUCCAGAAUCCUACGGGAGGCAGCAGUGGGGAAUAUUGCACAAUGGGCGCAAGCCUGAUGCAGCCAUGCCGCGUGUAUGAAGAAGGGCUUCGGGUUGGAAAGUACUUUCAGCGGGGAGGCGUUACCCGAAGAAGAAGCACCGGCUAACUACGUGCCAGCAGCCGAGGUAAUUC
rnacentral:rRNA from 1 species